AGAGAAGAGAAGAGAAGAGAAGAGUUAAGUUUGAUACUAAAGACGAAAAGGACAAAAGUUAGAGAAGUGUGAGAGAAGUGGUAGUGAUGACGAAAUGAAAGAUUAUCAAGAUCAGUGAGAGAAAUAUGAAAGAGAAGGUGCAGUGAUGACGAAAUGAAAGGCUAUCAUAUCUUCUGGUACUGCAAAAAUGACAGGUUAACAGAGACAUACGUG
rnacentral:misc_RNA from 1 species